GCCAACGGCAUAGCUGGGUAGCUAUGUAUGGACGGGAUAAGUGCUGAAAGCAUCUAAGCAUGAAGCCCCCCUCAAGAUGAGAUUUCCCCAACUUCGGUUAUAAGAUCCCUCAAAGAUGAUGAGGUUAAUAGGUUCGGGGUGGAAGCAUAGCGAUAUGUGGAGCUGACGAAUACUAAUCGAUCGAAGACUUAAUCAAAUUUCAAGUUUUGA
rnacentral:rRNA from 1 species